UUGGCUUUUCUUGCAGUUCCCUCGGCUAUCAUCGCCUCUACUCUCUCCUAUCACAGCUCAGAGAAGACCCAAAUACAACAAGAAGAAAACUAGUCUUCUCCAACUCUCUCCUCGACGCGCUUCCUCUCCGAGGCUCCGCCGCCUACUUGUACUUUGCUCUUCCGCCCCUCGACGGCGGCUCGCCUCCUGCCGCCGCCGCCGCCCCUCCGGACUCUGCCGCCGGCCGCCUUCUGGAACAGCAGAGGUAAAGAAAAAUCCCUUCUUGCGGUGGUUUCUGGGGCAGAUCUGAGAGCGAAAAGGUCUCGCCUUUUUUCUCCGAUGGCUUCUUCC
rnacentral:lncRNA from 1 species